GCCAACCUCCGCGAAACUCGGCCGUUUUAUCAUGUCAACGUUUUCGACGCGCGCCAAACUGUCGUUGGCGAUUCGCGCGUAUUUAAAAUCCGUGAGUGAUCUUUUCCCCCAAUUAAUAACGCGGCAAUCACCUCGAUUGCUGUGCGCGCGCGUUCGUUACGAUAUUAUCGCAGGAGACGUUCGGGAGAUCGGACGGGACGCAACCGCGAGGACAGCG